AACGGCCGUACCAUGCUGAAUAUACCGGUUCUCGUUAGAUCACCGAAGUUAAGCAUCAUUGGGCGCGGUCAGUACUUGGGUGGCUGACCACCUGGGAACACUGCGUGCCGUU
rnacentral:rRNA from 1 species